CUCCUUACUCACAUGUGCCCGGUCUGACUCAGGACUGGCUUGGUUCCACCAGGAGCCCCACUCAUGUCCCUACCUCCUUCUGCAAGAACAUGAAACUUUUUAAACAGGUCAUAGAGUCUCCACCACAAGGCUAAAUUCUGUCUUGCACACAGCUGUUAACAGAGCCUCUCCCGCGUGCCCGGAGCUUUGCACACAAAGAUGAAAAGCUUUGAGCCCCAGUCUGGAGCAGCGAGCCCCUGGCCACAGAGCAGGCUGUGGGCCGCAAAGCCAAACACGAACUGAAGGAACGCCAACCAAAAUCCUCUUCCGUCUUUUCUCUGCCACGGUUCUACUUCUGGACCUCACGUCCUUUCUUCCAGAGACAUCUCCUAGGUCAUGCUGCAGCGGCUCUCAGGACCGGAAGCGGUGUGCUCCUGGGCAAACGCACGGGGAGAGGCAGAACUCCUGACUUGAGGAAUAGGCACACUGGGUACAUUUACGUUCUUGAAAGCUACUGCAAGGAGGCCCUCCAAAGAGAGCAGACACUUGACAUUGGUAAAAGCAAUGUGCGCAAGUGUUUCCUUGGCUCACUCGUUUGCUUUUCCUUUUCCAAACCAAUGUACGUUUGUGGUCACAAGUAAAACAACACAAUACAAAGAUGUCGGUGUUUGGGUCUCUCUUCUUGUGAGGGCACCAGAUCGGACAUCUCCCUCUUACACCUCCUUCUCCGGUCUGUCUCCU